rnacentral:rRNA from 1 species
ACCAGGGUAUGUAACGUUGAGUGAAGGGUAUGGAUGUGAUCUGUAUUCUGAUAGCGUUACGCGUGGUGCAUGGCCGUUCUUAACACGUGGGGUGACUUGUCUGGUUAAAUCCGAUAACGCGUGAGACCCUGGAAAUUGACGAUACUUGACAAGAGUAGGGAAGCUCGGGUCGAUAACAGGUCUGUGAUGCCCGUAGAUAUUCUGGGCGCCACGCGCACUACAGUGGGAGAGGAUACGUGAAACGGAACUCUCUUGCGGUUGGGAUUGACGUUUGUAAAUACGUCAUGAACGCGGAAUUCCUAGUAAUUUGUUGUCAUUAACGACAGAUGAAUGAGUCCCUGUUCUUUGUACACACCGCCCGUCGUUAUCUAAGAUGAAUGUGCGGAUGAAGUUGGUUAGGCCAAAAGAAUCCGUGCGAUUAGAUUGGAUACAAGUCGUAACAAGGUUGCGGUAGGAGAACCUGCCGCAGGAUCAAUAAAAAGAUCAUUGGGUUUUUAUAAUGUGGGUAACACAUUGCGUUCGAAGGAUCGAUUGGUUUUGGUGACGAUGACGAUUGUUGCUGUAUGCGAUAAUGAGUGACAACAGCCUUGUUUAACUCGUUAUCUAAUUAUAGAUGCCAUCUAUGAUUACCCCUUGGACUUAAGAUAUCAUUAAAGGGAGGAAAAGGAACAACUGUGAAUUUCGA